ensembl:misc_RNA Metazoa_SRP Metazoan signal recognition particle RNA
UAUGGGUGGUGGCAUGUGCCUGUAGUUCCAGCUACUCAGGAGGCUGAGAUAGGAGGAUCACUUGAGUCCAGGAGUUCUGGGCUGUAGUGUGGUGUGCCAAUCAGGUGUCUGCACUAAGUUCAGCAUCAAUGUGGUGACCUCCCGGGAGCGGGGGACUAUCAGGUCACCUAAGGAGGGGUGAACCAGCCCAGGUCAGAAACGGAGCAGGUCAAAACUCUGGUGUUGGUGCUGAUCAGUAGUGGGAUCGCGCCUGUGAAUAGCCACUGUACUCCAGCCUGGGCAACAUAAUGAGACCCCAUCU